rnacentral:pre_miRNA from 1 species
UUAAGUAGUGGUGCCGCAGGUACAAGCUAUACUCGAGUCUACCGGCGCAUCUCUACUUUACU